UGGUAAAAUAGCAGGCUGAUAUGCUCAGUCGACGGUGCUGCUAAAUGCACUAAUGAAGGUACAAUUGAAUUACUGAGUAAUAUUUCAUGUAUUAAUCCACGUUGUACAUUCAAUGUUUAGGAGCUUAUCUUAGUUUCUUUUUUUUCUCUAAAUAUUUGUUAUUUCUAUUUUCGUAACUGCGUUGUUGGUUAGGGGCUUUUAAGUAAGCGUUUCACUGCUGUUUGUAUUCGGCGCAUGUGACAAAUACGAAUUUGAAUAGUUGCGAUAUUGCUGCUUUGCCACGCGGUGUUGCAAAUGGCUCGCUAACGUUAGCUCGUUAACGUUUGCAGAAGAGGCAUCAAACUAACUACAGGAAAUGACAGGCCCAGCAUUUGGCCAUCUUGAGUUGAGCCAGAACUCCAUGCACCAGAAGCUUUUCCAUGUGUGCCUUCAUCUUUCAGAGAACAGCUUAAUAUGAAGCUGUUUAAUUCAAGCUCAAACUCAGUGAGUUGCCCUGAAUACCCAAGAGUUCCUGAGCGUAUGGUCAUUGGCCUAGUGUCAAGUCUACCAAAUGGCCACUAGGUGGCUCUCGAGCCCAGAUGAACAACAGCCCUUCGGCCUGUUGUAUCAUGUGCCAAGGGCUCUGAGGGUAAUGAUUUAAGUACACCAGGACUGGUCUUUUGAUGAUAGUACACCUGAACUUGGCUGAAUGAUUAAUCUCCAGUGAAGGUUGAAUGCCUGGCCUACUGAAAUGACCAGAGCAAGGUGAUGUGUUUCAGCCCUGUGCACCUAUCAAGUUAAGAGGCGUUUGAAGAAAUUAACAAGAUGAAUGCUUUCUCCAAGAUUUAACUUAGAAUGCAUUUGAAGAUGUGGCUCAAACUGACCUGUUGGACUUUCUGAAUUUCAAUAAAAUAUUUGGUAAUGUAA